GAUGAACGCUAGCGGCAGGCUUAAUACAUGCAAGUCGUGGGGCAGCAGGGUUGUAGCAAUACAAUCGCUGGCGACCGGCAAACGGGUGCGUAACACGUACGCAACCUUCCCGUUACUGCGGCAUAGCCCAGGGAAACUUGGAUUAAUACUACAUAUUAUAUUGAGGGGGCAUCCUCUUGAUAUCAAAGCUACGGCGGUAACGGACGGGCGUGCGGUUGAGUAGGUAGUUGGCGGGGUAACGGCCCACCAAGCCUACGAUCAAUAGCUGAUGUGAGAGCAUGAUCAGCCACACGAGCACUGGGACACGGGCCCGACUCCUACGGGAGGCAGCAGUAAGGAAUAUUGGGCAAUGGACGAAAGUCUGACCCAGCCAUGCCGCGUGAAGGAUUAAGGUCCUCUGGAUUGUAAACUUCUUUUCUCUGGGGCGAAAACCAGCUAUUCUUAGCUAUUUGACAGUACCAGAGGAAUAAGCACCGGCUAACUCCGUGCCAGCCGCCGCAGUAAAAC
rnacentral:rRNA from 1 species